UACGGGGGGGGCAAGCGUUGUUCGGAAUUACUGGGCGUAAAGGGCUCGUAGGCGGCCAACUAAGUCGGAUGUGAAAUCCCCAAGCUUAACUUGGGAACUGCAUCCGAUACUGGAUGGCUUGAAUCCGGGAGAGGGAUGCAGAAUUCCAGGUGUAGCGGUGAAAUGCGUAGAUAUCUGGAGGAACACCGGUGGCGAAGGCGGCAUCCUGGACCGGCAUUGACGCUGAGGAGCGAAAGCCAGGGGAGCAAACGGG
rnacentral:rRNA from 1 species